rnacentral:rRNA from 1 species
GAUGAACGCUGGCGGCGUGCCUAAUACAUGCAAGUCGAGCGAAUGGAUUAAGAGCUUGCUCUUAUGAAGUUAGCGGCGGACGGGUGAGUAACACGUGGGUAACCUGCCCAUAAGACUGGGAUAACUCCGGGAAACUGGGGCUAAUACCGGAUAACAUUUUGAACCGCAUGGUUCGAAAUUGAAAGGCGGCUUCGGCUGUCACUUAUGGAUGGACCCGCGUCGCAUUAGCUAGUUGGUGAGGUAACGGCUCACCAAGGCAACGAUGCGUAGCCGACCUGAGGGGGUGAUCGGCCACACUGGGACUGAGACACGGCCCAGACUCCUACGGGAGGCAGCAGUAGGGAAUCUUCCGCAAUGGACGAAAGUCUGAGGGAGCAACGCCGCGUGAGUGAGGAAGGCUUUCGGGUCGUAAAACUCUGUUGUUAGGGAAGAACAAGUGCUAGUUGAAUAAGCUGGCACCUUGACGGUACCUAACCAGAAAGCCACGGCUAACUACGUGCCAGCCGCCGCAGUAA